rnacentral:rRNA from 1 species
CUACGGGCGGCUCCAGUGGGGAAUAUUGCACAAUGGGGGGAACCCUGAUGCAGCAACGCCGCGUGGAGGAUGACGCAUUUCGGUGUGUAAACUCCUUUUAUAUGUCAAGAAAAUGACGGUAGCAUAUGAAUAAGCACCGGCUAACUCCGUGCCAGCAGCCGCGGUAAUACGGAGGGUGCAAGCGUUACUCGGAAUCACUGGGCGUAAAGGACGCGUAGGCGGGUUGGAAAGUCAGGUGUGAAAUCCUACAGCUUAACUGUAGAACUGCACUUGAAACUUCUAAUCUAGAGUAUGGGAGGGGGAGAUGGAAUUAGUGGUGUAGGGGUAAAAUCCGUAGAUAUCACUAGGAAUACCUAAAGCGAAGGCGAUCUCCUGGAACAUUACUGACGCUAAGGCGUGAAAGCGUGGGGAGCAAACAGGAUUAGAUACCCUAGUAGUC